UUCUCAUUCUCUCAUGGCCACAUCACUUAUCUUUGUCUUCUCUUUACUGAUGAUGUCCAAUGCUCAGCUCCAUUCUUUAGAAGAUAAAGAUUCAUAGUUGUUCAGACCAAUUAUUUUGCUUUCUCUCUCUCUCUCUCUGUAUAUAUAUUUGUAUUUAUUUAUGAAUAAUACUUUAAUUAUUUAGCAAAUAUUUCUGAAUUCCAAACUUCUCAAUUUUGCCAGAUUAUUCCUGAAGAUCGAAUUUGUCACUAUGACAGACCUUUUCUUAUAAGAGCUAACUAUUUUUUGGGGGAAAAUGUGUGAGAAGAAAUCUUCUUGAAUUAAAAAAUUGUUACUUUUUAAAAGUAGAAUGGAGUAGGUCUUCACAAUGAAGUUCAAAUAAAGUACAAGAAAAGUCAAGGAUUGAAAGGUUCAAAAGCAACAAAGAACAUCUAUGUGACGUUUUACUUAUCCAUUGUAGUGGCCCUGUUUUGACCUUCCUCUUUGUUGCUUUAGCUUCUGGAUAGGCAUAUAAGUAGGAAAAUAUCCCCUUGCUUGUUAUUAAAAAAAUUAAUUUUCAUUUUUUAUUUGUC
rnacentral:lncRNA from 1 species